rnacentral:RNase_P_RNA from 1 species
CCAGUCGGCCGGACGGCCGCUCCCGCUUGCGGGGGAGGAAAGUCCGGGCUCCACGGAAACACGGUGCCGGAUAACGUCCGGCGGGGGCGACCCCAGGGAAAGCGCCACAGAGAUCGAACCGCCUUCGGCUUCGGCCGCAGGUAAGGGUGAAAAGGUGCGGUAAGAGCGCACCGCGGGCCCGGCAACGGGGCCGGCAUGGCAAGCCCCACCGGGAGCAAAACCGAAUAGGGACGAUGCUUUCCGCGCAAGCGGGGAGGGGCUGGUUUCUGAGCCUUGUCGUCCGGGUUGGUUGCUCGAGGCGCGCAGCAAUGCGCGUCCCAGAGGAAUGGCCGUCACGUUGCGGAAGAAAUUCCGCAGCCAUCCAGAACCCGGCUUAUAGGCCGACUGGCACC